rnacentral:lncRNA from 1 species
CUUUAGUGUGCCACUGAGGAAGAACCUCUGCCCUCGACCCUUCCCAAACGUUGUUUCUUAGGGUCUGCUUCUCUCAGCCUUUCAAUGGAAAUGAGCCUCUUAACCUGAAAUUGCCUGCCUUAAAACUCUCUCCCAAGCCAGAAAAGCGUCCAUUUCCUGGAAAGGUUGUCGUGCUACUUCAACUCCUUCACCAAACCCACCCCCCUGACAAUCACUGAGGGCAGAAGAAAAUGGAAAACAAAGACAAACAAACCAAAGAAGGCGGAUGAAGUAGAAGCCAUUCAUUCUUUCCAUGAACAUUGACCCUAUAUCCUGAAGGUGGAUCCAAUGAAAAAAGAGAAGCAGCAAGAGUGGCUUCUGUUUCCCUGGCUGGACUCUGAGUAAUAUAGCAGCAAUAAUUUCCCAAGGGAAAGGAGGAAGACGGGUUGGCUCCAAUGAAGACACUUAUGAUGUGAAGAGUUCCCGUAACAGUUCACCAUCUCUGGGGCAGUUAUACAACAGGGAUCCCUGACUUCUUCAGAACCGAGAGUUCAAAUCAGGACUAUCUGGUGAUGAAUCUAUCCACUAGAAGCUGAUAUGAAGAGUCAGGUCACUAGAAAACAGAAUAUCAUGUGAUUGUGUUUGACUGCACAACUGGUCUCUAUCAAUAUCUAUGCCUGAAGAGGAAGAAUGUUUGCCUAGUAAGGCCAUUAAUAUUGGCAAAUCUUGCAUAGACACAAGUGGUUGUAAUUCUUACUACCAUUAAGACAGUAGAUGGAUGGCUUUGAAUUUGGGCCAAGUGAGCAAAGGCAGCCCCUCCCUCUCUACGUUCCAGCCGUUUUGCUCACUGUGAGGACUCAGCUGUGACACGGCAAGUAUCUUUUACGCACAUUUCUGUGAUUUGCCCAGCACACAUAGAACCAUCAUGAGCCUUUUAAUAGCCAGUAAUAGUUUGUCAUAAACUUGUAAGAUAAGAUGCUUUUUGUUUAAUACUCAAGUGCAUUAGAAACCUGGCAUCAACACAACAAGAAAAUUUGUUCUCUUGAGAUUCAGUAGAGAGAUUCAAGGUCACAUAAUCAUUCCAGAAAUUUUAAAACGGCUUCCUUUUAUUCGGUGCCAAGAAAUGCUGAGCUCCAGAAACUUCCUAUAAAGCUCAUCUUGAUAGUUUUUAAAAUACUUUAGAUAUCACACUCACCCAUGUUUUUUGAAUGGCAGCUGGAGUUAAGAAUUCUGUUUCCUUUGAGGUACUAUCCCAUAACUCCUGAUUUUUUUUUCAACUCUCUUUAUGUUUGGAUUUUUGCCAAAUAUUGCUAUUGAUCAAAGGAAGAAAAUGUUGUGCUUAGUUUUAUAAUGCUGGGUCCAUCAAGAUUGAACAUGGUCUUCCUUUCUCAAAACAUAGACUUACUGUGUUGGUAUUCUUCAACCUGCUCUGCCUCACCUCCAUGACAGUCCAUCGUCACAGCUGCUGCCAUUAUAGAUGUGGGAUGAUGUGUGGAAUGUGUUCAUUACUCUUUUUGUAAACACACACACAGGCACACACACACACACACAUCAUAACUCGUGUUCAAUGAUCUAAAAUCCAAAACUCAUUUUGGAUUUAAUUACAUAUAUUGCUUUUUUUUUUCUUUUUUUUUGAGACAGAGCCUUACUCUGUCGCCAGGCUGGAGUGCAGUGGUGCGAUCCCAGCUCACUGCAACCUCCGCCUCCCGGGUUCAAGCAAUUCUCCUGCCUCAGCCUCCCAAGUAGCUGGGAUUACAGGCACCUGCCACCACUCCUGGCUAAUUUUUGUAUUUUUAGUAGAGACGAGGUUUCACCAUGUUUGUCAGGAUGGUAUAUUGCUCUUUUUAUGUGCUUCUAAGUAUAAUCAUAUGGCAGAAAAGAGAGGCCAAAAAAACUAGUUAAACUGGGUUUACACUCUCAUUUCAUUGCCUGGACAUUUCACGAUCCUCUCCACAGCAUCUGCAAAGCUAGAAGAUCUAGAUUCUCAAAAUUCCACCUCCUCCCAUCUUUUGUCCACUCUCUCUGUUUUACCCCAUAUCAGUUUAGAUAUAACCACAGUCCCUUCACCAGUUUUCAUAAGAAAUCCACGUAUGCCAUUGAUUUCUAGUUUAGUGAGCUUGGGAAAUGUCUUGGACUUUGGGAGAGGGUCACAGUGCAGUGGGGCAGCUUUCCUCAGCCCAGCUGGCUUCUUUCUCAUCCACCUCUCCCAGCUCUUCAGUUCUCCUUUCAGGAUGGCUCUAUGAAGAUUACUUUCUUUCAUUCUUUCACUUAUUCAGAACAAGGAUCUCAUCCCAAAUUUGUACAGGAUGGCUUAUCGAAGCAUUCUGAAGAAUAAAGAGACUUCCAUUUGGCAUGCGUGGAGUAGCUAUUUUCUCCCUGUGUCUUCACAUGGUCUUCCGUCUGUGAGUCUACCCUAAUCUCUUCCUAUAAGGACACCAGUCAUAUUGGAUUAGGGUCCACCCUAAUGACCUUAUUUUAAUUUAAUUACCUCUUUAAAGAUGCUACUGUGUUUCCAAAUACAGCCACAUGCUGAGGUAUUGGAGGAGAGGGCUUCAACAUAUGAAUUGAGGGCUGAUACAAUUCAGCCCAUGAGACUCCCCUUAAAUGAGCAGCUCAUAUAAUUGAAGAUGCAUGAGAACAGAGACCUUGUCUGCC